UGGGGAAUAUUGGACAAUGGGCGAAAGCCUGAUCCAGCCAUGCCGCGUGAGUGAUGAAGGCCUUAGGGUUGUAAAGCUCUUUCAGUGGGGACGAUAAUGACGGUACCCACAGAAGAAGCCCCGGCUAACUUCGUGCCAGCAGCCGCGGUAAUACGAAGGGGGCUAGCGUUGUUCGGAUUUACUGGGCGUAAAGCGCACGUAGGCGGAUUGUUAAGUGAGGGGUGAAAUCCCAGGGCUCAACCCUGGAACUGCCUUUCAUACUGGCAAUCUUGAGUCCGGAAGAGGUGAGUGGAACUCCUAGUGUAGAGGUGGAAUUCGUAGAUAUUAGGAAGAACACCAGUGGCGAAGGCGGCUCACUGGUCCGGUACUGACGCUGAGGUGCGAAAGCGUGGGGAGCAAACA
rnacentral:rRNA from 1 species